CCCGCUGAACUUAAGCAUAUCAAUAAGCGGAGGAAAAGAAACUAACAAGGAUUCCCCUAGUAACUGCGAGUGAAGCGGGAAAAGCUCAAAUUUAAAAUCUGGCGGUCUUGCGGCCGUCCGAGUUGUAAUCUGGAGAAGCGUUUAUCCGCGUCGGACCGUGUACAAGUCUUCUGGAAGGGAGCGUCGUAGAGGGUGAGAAUCCCGUCUUUGACACGGACAACCGGUGCUUUUGUGAUGCGCUCUCGAAGAGUCGAGUUGUUUGGGAAUGCAGCUCAAAAUGGGUGGUAAAUUCCAUCUAAAGCUAAAUAUUGGCGAGAGACCGAUAGCGAACAAGUACCGUGAGGGAAAGAUGAAAAGCACUUUGGAAAGAGAGUUAAACAGUACGUGAAAUUGUUGAAAGGGAAACGUUUGAAGUCAGUCGCGUCGGCCGAGACUCAACCUUGCUUCUGCUCGGUGCACUUCUCGGUUGACGGGUCAGCAUCAAUUUUGACCGCCGGAUAAAGGUCGGGGGAAUGUGGCAUCCUUCGGGAUGUGUUAUAGACCUCGAUUCGGAUACGGCGAUUGGGACCGAGGGACUCAGCACGACCUUCGGGUUCGGGGCUUAGGCUCACGUUAACGUGCUUAGGAUGCUGGCAUAAUGGCCUUAAGCGACCCGUCUUGAAACACGG
rnacentral:rRNA from 1 species